rnacentral:rRNA from 1 species
AUUGAACGCUGGCGGCAUGCCUUACACAUGCAAGUCGAACGGCAGCACGGGAGCAAUCCUGGCACCUAGUGGCGAACGGGUGAGUAAUAUAUAGGAAAGUGCCGAGUCGUGGGGGAUAACGCAGCGAAAGGUGUGCUAAUACCGCAUACGAUCUCUGGAGGAAAGCUGGGGACCGUAAGGCACCGCGCGAUUGGAGCGGCCCAUAUCAGAGUAGCCAGUUGGUGGGGUAAAGGCCCACCAAGGCGACGAUCUGUAGCUGGUCUGAGAGGAUGACCAGCCACACUGGAACUGAGACACGGUCCAGACUCCUACGGGAGGCAGCAGUGGGGAAUUUUGGACAAUGGGCGCAAGCCUGAUCCAGCAAUGCCGCGUGCAGGAUGAAGGCCUUCGGGUUGUAAACUGCUUUUGUACGGAACGAAACGGCGAGCUCUAAUAAAGUUUGCUAAUGACGGUACCGUAAGAAUAAGCACCGGCUAACUACGUGCCAGCAGCCGCCGUAA